AAAAAAGACAAACCUUAGUUUCCGUGCCCAACAUUUGACCGUCCGUCUUAUUUGAAAAAAUUAUGAAAAAAAAAGACAAGUCACGCAUAAAAUGUUAAUCAUGUUUUAUUAUCUAACAAUAAUGAAAAUACGAAUUAUAAAAAAAUUUCAUAUAAGACGGACAGUCAAAGUUGGACACGAAAAUACAGGGUUUGACUUUUU
rnacentral:pre_miRNA from 1 species